rnacentral:rRNA from 1 species
CGUUCCCGGGCCUUGUACACACCGCCCGUCACACCACGAAAGUUGCCAAUACCAGAAGUCGGUGACCCAACCGCAAGGAGGGAGCCGCCCAAGGUAUCGGUAGUAAUUGGGGUG